AGUGAACGCUGGCGGUAGGCCUAACACAUGCCAGUCGAACGGCAGCACAGUAAGAGCUUGCUCUUACGGGUGGCGAGUGGCGGACGGGUGAGGAAUACAUCGGAAUCUACUUUUUCGUGGGGGAUAACGUAGGGAAGCUUACGCUAAUACCGCAUACGACCUACGGGUGAAAGCAGGGGAUCUUCGGACCUUGCGCGAUUGAAUGAGCCGAUGUCGGAUUAGCUAGUUGGCGGGGUAAAGGCCCACCAAGGCGACGAUCCGUAGCUGGUCUGAGAGGAUGAUCAGCCACACUGGAACUGAGACACGGUCCAGACUCCUACGGGAGGCAGCAGUGGGGAAUAUUGGACAAUGGGCGCAAGCCUGAUCCAGCCAUACCGCGUGGGUGAAGAAGGCCUUCGGGUUGUAAAGCCCUUUUGUUGGGAAAGAAAAGCAGCAGGUUAAUACCCCGCUGUUCUGACGGUACCCAAAGAAUAAGCACCGGCUAACUUCGUG
rnacentral:rRNA from 1 species